CCUACGGGUGGCAGCAGUGAGGAAUAUUGGUCAAUGGGCGAGAGCCUGAACCAGCCAAGUCGCGUGAAGGAAGACGGUCCUAUGGAUUGUAAACCUCUUUUGCCGGGGAGCAAAACGCGAUACGUGUACCGCAUCGAGAGUACCCGGAGAAAAAGCAUCGGCUAACUCCGUGCCAGCAGCCGCGGUAAUACGGAGGAUGCGAGCGUUAUCCGGAUUUAUUGGGUUUAAAGGGUGCGCAGGCGGUCUGUUAAGUCAGCGGUGAAAGCCCGGGGCUCAACCCCGAGCCCGCCUUGAAACCUGGUAGUCUCGAGUUGGAGAGAGGUAGGCGGAAUGUGCGGUGUAGCGGUGAAAUGCAUAGAGAUCGCGCAGAACUCCGAUUGCGAAGGCAGCAUGCCG
rnacentral:rRNA from 1 species